GUGCCAGCCGCCGCGGUAAUACGGAGGGGGCUAGCGUUGUUCGGAAUUACUGGGCGUAAAGUGCGCGUAGGCGGCGCGUCGGGUCAGGCGUGAAAGCCCCGGGCUCAACCUGGGAACGGCGCUUGAAACUGGCGUGCUCGAGGCCGUGAGAGGGUGGCGGAACUCCCAGUGUAGAGGUGAAAUUCGUAGAUAUUGGGAAGAACACCAGUGGCGAAGGCGGCCACCUGGCACGGUCCUGACGCUGAGGCGCGAAAGCGUGGGGAGCAAACAGGAUUAGAAACCCCAGUAGUCC
rnacentral:rRNA from 1 species